AUUGAACGCUGGCGGCAUGCCUUACACAUGCAAGUCGAACGGCAGCACGGGUGCUUGCACCUGGUGCGAGUGGCGAACGGGUGAGUAAUAUAUCGGAACGUACCUUAUUGUGGGGGAUAACGCAGCGAAAGCUGUGCUAAUACCGCAUAAUCCCUAAGGGGGAAAGCGGGGGACCGUAAGGCAUCGCGCAAUUAGAGCGGCCGAUACCUGAUUAGCUAGUUGGUGAGGUAAAGGCUCACCAAGGCAACGAUCAGUAGCUGGUCUGAGAGGACGAUCAGCCACACUGGGACUGAGACACGGCCCAGACUCCUACGGGAGGCAGCAGUGGGGAAUUUUGGACAAUGGGGGCAACCCUGAUCCAGCAAUGCCGCGUGAGUGAAGAAGGCCUUCGGGUUGUAAAGCUCUUUUGUCAGGGAAGAAACAGCAGCUCUAGCACAGUCCGGGAAUGACGGUACCUGAAGAAUAAGCACCGGCUAACUACGUGCCAGCAGCCGCCGUAA
rnacentral:rRNA from 1 species